UACGGAGGGGGCUAGCGUUGUUCGGAAUUACUGGGCGUAAAGCGCCCGUAGGCGGUUUGUUGCGUCGGCUGUGAAAUCCCGAGGCUCAACCUCGGGUCUGCAGUCGAUACGAGCAAACUAGAGUGUUGCAGGGGAGACUGGAAUUCCUGGUGUAGCGGUGAAAUGCGCAGAUAUCAGGAGGAACACCGGUGGCGAAGGCGGGUCUCUGGGCAACAACUGACGCUGAGGAGCGAAAGCGUGGGGAGCGAACAGG
rnacentral:rRNA from 1 species